AUGUUAGAGGUGCGUAUUUAAUUAGUAGCCUGUCCCAGGGCGCACGGCCCGAUGAAGCCAGGCAAAAGGUAACUACGCCGAAAGAACCGUGUUGUGCGGCGCGGCUCUUGGUUGUGCAGCAAACAGCUGCCCGACUGUCAUCCUUGCCGAUGGAGUGCUAA
rnacentral:ncRNA from 1 species